UCUCGCGCUGUGCGACAUAAUUUUAAACGUGUGAUUAGUUUUGUGCGCGGUGUAGAAAAAGGUGUGGCCCGUGCUUUGUGUAUUACUCGUGGUCCACUUCAAAGCAAAGCGUUCGUACGCACUGGAAGAUGGAUCCACGGACGCUGAGACGAGCAGUUGCAACGUGCCCUGUGUCGGCGGUCGGUAGUACUGCCAUAAUGGAAAUUUUCAGGCAAUGUUGCCGCCUGAAAGCCGAGUUUGGUUUCAAGCCAACCUGGACAACUGCUGUAUGAGGCGCUGUUUCGCAGGAGGAUCAGUGGGAAGGCGUCAGGUCAUGCAGAUGAUAGCAUCAAUUUCACAAUGCCCAGCCUUGGUGCCCUCCAUUAAGAGCAAGCCACUUGCGUUCGCCUUCAGGCAGAUGGUUGAUGUCUUCUAGGAAGCAGUUGGGAAGACUACAUUGAUGCAAGAUUCCAGCAAUGCCAUGCGCUGCAUUUAUUGGUCAAGUUGCUCAGAGAAUGGAGUCCCUGCACCUCGUGGUGAAACGUGAACAUUUUCUUUCUUUUGGAAAGCUAAACGUCAUUUGCUGUAUCAAUUGCAUUCUUGCAGCUCAGAUGUGUA
rnacentral:lncRNA from 1 species